UACGGAGGGAGCUAGCGUUGUUCGGAAUUACUGGGCGUAAAGCGCACGUAGGCGGCUUUGUAAGUUAGAGGUGAAAGCCCGGGGCUCAACUCCGGAACUGCCUUUAAGACUGCAUCGCUUGAAUCCAGGAGAGGUGAGUGGAAUUCCGAGUGUAGAGGUGAAAUUCGUAGAUAUUCGGAAGAACACCAGUGGCGAAGGCGACUCACUGGACACAUAUUGACGCUGAGGUGCGAAAGCGUGGGGAGCAAACAGG
rnacentral:rRNA from 1 species